UAGGCUAAAGUCCGCUGGCUGGGAUAUUUAGUUGUUAACUAAAGUUUUUACGGGAUCGAGGCCCGUUGGUCUAUU
rnacentral:tRNA from 1 species